rnacentral:rRNA from 1 species
AGUGAACGCUGGCGGUAGGCCUAACACAUGCAAGUCGAACGGCAGCACAGUAAGAGCUUGCUCUUACGGGUGGCGAGUGGCGGACGGGUGAGGAAUACAUCGGAAUCUACUUUUUCGUGGGGGAUAACGUAGGGAAACUUACGCUAAUACCGCAUACGACCUACGGGUGAAAGCAGGGGAUCUUCGGACCUUGCGCGAUUGAAUGAGCCCAUGUCGGAUUAGCUAGUUGGCGGGGUAAAGGCCCACCAAGGCGACGAUCCGUAGCUGGUCUGAGAGGAUGAUCAGCCACACUGGAACUGAGACACGGUCCAGACUCCUACGGGAGGCAGCAGUGGGGAAUAUUGGACAAAGGGCGCAAGCCUGAUCCAGCCAUACCGCGUGGGUGAAGAAGGCCUUCGGGUUGUAAAGCCCUUUUGUUGGGAAAGAAAAGCAGCAGGUUAAUACCCCGCUGUUCUGACGGUACCCAAAGAAUAAGCACCGGCUAACUUCGUG